UCCCUAGUAGCUCAGAUGGCAAAGCAUCCAUCUUCAACGCGGGAGACCCAGGUUCAAUCCCUGGGUCGGGAC
rfam:Ovis aries breed Texel chromosome 1, whole genome shotgun sequence.